UGGAACUUGAGAGGAUUCAGGCAGAAGAAAGUGUGAAAACCUUGUCUAGAGAAACAAUUGAAUAUAAGAAAGUACUGGAUGAACAGAUACAAGAAAGGGAGAAUUCAAAGAAUGAGGAAUCAAAGCACAAUCAAGAACUGACAUCUCAGUUGUUAGCUGCAGAAAAUAAAUGCAAUCUAUUAGAAAAACAAUUGGAAUACAUGCGAAAUAUGAUAAAGCAUGCCGAAAUGGAGAGGACAUCUGUCUUAGAGAAACAAGUUUCCCUCGAAAGAGAACGACAACAUGAUCAAACACAUGUUCAGAGCCAACUUGAAAAAUUGGAUCUUCUUGAACAGGAGUAUAACAAACUUACCACAAUGCAGGCCCUUGCAGAAGUCAGUGCAUGUGUCUUUUUAUUGUUAACAUGUAUCAGGGUGGUUUCUUUUUUAAUGUUAAUUAUUUUGUAUCACUGGAUAUUAAUAGCAUUAAAAGUGAUCUUAUAAUGAAAUAUAUUGGAGUUUU
rnacentral:sRNA from 1 species